rnacentral:lncRNA from 1 species
GAUUAGGGGUGAGCAUUCGGUCGGUUCGGUUCAAAACCGAACCGAACCGAAUAAACCGAAAACCGAAAUUUUAGUUUUUAUGAAAACCGAACCGAACCGAUUUUGGUCAGAAACCGAAUCGAACCGAACCGGUCUGAUUCGGUUCGGUUCGGUUCGGUUCGGUUUGAUCGGUUUCGAUUUUUAAUAUUUUUUUAAUUUUUUACUCUUUAUUUUUAGUAUUUUAAAAUUUAAUUAAAAUAUUUUAAUUUUAAUAUAAUUUAAUUUCUCAAUAUUAUUGAAAAAAUAUAUUAUUAUCCCUAAUCGGUUCGGUUCGGUUUUUUCGGUUUUUUUCUGAUCAAAACCGAACCGAACCGAAAUAACCGGAAUUUCUGAAAUUUAAAACCGAACCGAACCGAAAUGUAUAAAAAACCGAAUCAAAUUUUCAAAUCGGUUCGGUUCGGUCGGUUUUUUCGGUUUGAACCGGAUUCUGCUCAGCCCUAGUGAUGAUCUGAGAUCCAGAGAAAUAGGGUUUUUACAAUGGGCUCUGUAAAACUUAGAAAAAGCUUAAACAUAGAGAGGAGUAUUUCUCCUUUUAUAUGUUUCCUUUUGUCUGCUAGUGACGUGCCAACAGAACGAGUAUCAU